rnacentral:rRNA from 1 species
AUGCGUUGUGUGAAAUCUCCUACUUUUUCUGUCAAGCUGGAUGGGGGGCUGUCUCAGCGGUUUAACCCUUCAAGAGGACUUAGACAAGGGGACCCUCUCUCCCCGUAUCUUUUUCUCUUUUGCGCGGAGGGUUUCUCGACAUUAUUAAAGAAGGCGCAUGAGGAGUCAGACAUCAAGGGGGUUUCUUUCGGUAGCAGCGGGCCAACUGUUACUCAUCUACUUUUCGCAGAUGACAGCGUGGUCUUUGUGGAAGGCUCUAGGAAAAAUUUUGAGUCACUUCAUGCUGUUCUGCAUGAGUAUGAAGCUGCGUCCGGUCAGAAAGUGAACCUCCAUAAGUCUUCAAUAUUCUUUGGGAAAGGUACGGAGGAUGCUACAAAAGAAGAGCUAAAGCAGGUGCUGGGUAUUGCGGAGGAGGUGCUGAGUGAGAGGUAUCUAGGAUUACCUAAAGUGGUGGGGAUCUCGAAGGAUGGAACAUUCAGAUAUGUCAAGGAGAGAGCAAGAGGAAAAGUAUUAGGGUGGAAAGGACAAGGAUUAUCAAAGAUGGCGAGAGAGGUGCUUGUUAAAUCCGGUCUCCAAUAA